UGGGGAAUUUUGGACAAUGGGCGAAAGCCUGAUCCAGCAAUGCCGCGUGUGUGAGGAAGGCCUUCGGGUUGUAAAGCACUUUUGUCCGGAAAGAAAUCCUUGGCUCUAAUACAGUCGGGGGAUGACGGUACCGGAAGAAUAAGCACCGGCUAACUACGUGCCAGCAGCCGCGGUAAUACGUAGGGUGCAAGCGUUAAUCGGAAUUACUGGGCGUAAAGCGUGCGCAGGCGGUUUGCUAAGACCGAUGUGAAAUCCCCGGGCUCAACCUGGGAACUGCAUUGGUGACUGGCAGGCUAGAGUAUGGCAGAUGGGGGGUAGAAUUCCACGUGUAGCAGUGAAAUGCGUAGAGAUGUGGAGGAAUACCGAUGGCGAAGGCAGCCCCCUGGGCCAAUACUGACGCUCAUGCACGAAAGCGUGGGGAGCAAACAGGAUUAGAUACCCUGGUAGUCCACGCCCUAAAACGAUGUCAACUAGUUGUUGGGGAUUCAUUUCCUUAGUAACGUAGCUAACGCGUGAAGUUGACCGCCUGGGGAGUACGGUCGCAAGAUUAAAACUCAAAUGAAUUGACGGGGU
rnacentral:rRNA from 1 species